rnacentral:lncRNA from 1 species
CACUGUCUUUAAGAAGCAAGCUGCUGUAUUAUGACAGGGUCAUUGCUAGGAUAUUAGGGUACCUUCUAGGAGCUGAGAGUGACCCAUGCAACAGCCAGCAAGAAAGUGGGGAGUCAGCCUUACCCAAGGAACUGAGUUCUAUCAACACCCUAAAUGGGUUUGGAAAUAGAUUCUUCCACAAUCGAGCCUUCUGAUGAGUUCAUAGCCCCCACUGACACCUUAAUUUCAGCCUGUUGAGAUCCUGAUCAGAGAGCCCAGUUAUGUUGUGCCCAGACUUCUGACCUACAGCAACUGUAAGGGAGGGUGGGGUUGUGUUAACCCACUAAGUUUGUGAUCAUUGGUUGGGCAGCAAUAGAAAGCUAGAUGGGCAGCACAACUUUAGACUCUAGAUCUGACGAUAUUUGUUCUGGGGAGCCCAUGAGAAAGGUUGCUACUGGACUAUGAGUACAGAUCAUCAGAGUUCAAAGGGCAUUAUGGAGAUCCCAUGUUGAAUCCCAUUUCAAGUUUCUUCUCUUGUCAGAUCCAAUAACGUCCCAUUGGCCAAGCAAAUCUCAUGGUCAAGCCCAAGAUCAAGGGACUGGGAAGUCCGUUCCACUCACCCUGAAGCCUGAAAAGUCUAGAUAUCUAUUACCGGGGAGUUAAGAAUUAGGAUCCAUUACUUGGGAAAUUUAGUACACAUGCACAAAAUCCCUCUGGCUGGUUUUACCUCCUCCACGUCCAUCAGUACACAGCUGAGCAUAAGCAGUUACCUCCAUCAUACAUUUGAAGCUCAUGAAGCCCCCCUUGCCAGCGCUGCAAAUUGGUCCAUGGAGAGCAGCACUGCAAAUUGGUCCAUGAAGAGCAGACCUCCAAGAAAGGAAAGUGGGAACUGGGAGAAGUCAGGGUAUUUCAUAUACAUGAUUUGCUUAUGGUUUUAAGAUGGAAGUCAAACAGCAUGUUCUAAUCCUAACACCACUACUCGAGCAAGUAGUCUCUCUGAGGACUCAGUGUUCUCAUCAUCUUAUAAAAAUGGCAUAAACAACGGUACCAACCUCUGAGGCAAUUGUGAAGAUUACACGAGCUCACAGAAUAAAGAAACCAAUUUCACUUUCUUUAGCCCUGUG